rnacentral:rRNA from 1 species
UACGUAGGGGGCUAGCGUUGUCCGGAUUUAUUGGGCGUAAAGAGCGUGUAGGCGGCCAGGUAGGUCUGCUGAAAACUCGAGGCUCAACCUCGAGACGUCGGCGGAAACCAUCUGGCUAGAGUCCGGAAGAGGAGAGUGGAAUUCCUGGUGUAGCGGUGAAAUGCGCAGAUAUCAGGAAGAACACCCGUGGCGAAGGCGGCUCUCUGGGACGGUACUGACGCUGAGACGCGAAAGCGUGGGGAGCGAACAGG